UUGUUCGGUCUAAUAAAAUUUGAAGGCGAAGGAGGGAGGCUAUCUGACGAUAUCUCUGUAGGAACCGAGAAAUCGCCCAUCUCGUUGUUCAGCACAAUGCCUGUGGAACGAGACAAAACCCCGCCUCCAAAGGCGUAAUUCACAGUCGUCGUCAUUGAUACCACAUUUCUAUCAUUAUCUACUAUGCAAAAAUGACUCGUGCCAUGGUCUUCAAGCUGACUCCACCUAGCAUGUAGUAUAUAGAAGGAAAAGUUGUGUUGUCCAAAAUCUUCUCUUGAAUAUUCUUUGCGAACGAGGGUGAAAGCAUAUCAGCUACUGUCUUACUUAUAUUAACAUAAUCCGGGUCGCCUAAAUCCAUCCGAAGAGCAAACAUGUGCUUUAAUGCUUCAAUGAAACGAUGUAAUCCCAACGCUCCUUUUGCAGCAUUUGAAUUCUCGUAGCUUUCUAAGAUGUUUGACACCUGUAGCUAGCCCCAACGUACCACUUGACGGGGGCGGCAUCCCUAAUAUAGUGUACCCCAUGGUAUCCACCGCAACCGCAUCCGUAACCUCAACAUCAUAGUUCCUCAAAUCUUCCAUUGUCAAAAUCCCGCCUGCAUCUUGAACAUCCUUAACCAACUUCUCCCCGAUCACCCCAUCAUAAAACGCUUUCGGCCCUUCAUUCGCUACAACUUCUAAAGUCAACCCGAGUUUUCGGUUAUAGCAAAUGUCCCCGGCUUUUAAAAGCUCCCCGUU
rnacentral:lncRNA from 1 species